GAUGAAGAACGUAGCGAAAUGCGAUAAGUAAUGUGAAUUGCAGAAUUCAGUGAAUCAUCGAAUCUUUGAACGCACAUUGCGCCCCCUGGUAUUCCGGGGGGCAUGCCUGUCCGAGCGUCAUUACAACCCUCAAGCUCAGCUUGGUAUUGGGCCCCGCCGACCCGGCGGGCCCUAAAGUCAGUGGCGGUGCCGUCCGGCUCCGAGCGUAGUAAUUCUUCUCGCUCUGGAGGUCCGGUCGUGUGCUCGCCAGCAACCCCCAAUUUUUUUCAGGUUGACCUCGGAUCAGGUAGGGAUACCCGCUGAACUUAAGCAUAUCAAUAAGCGGACGA
rnacentral:misc_RNA from 1 species